GUGACUAGAUGCUGAUGUGUGUGUAUGUAGGUGAGUGUCUGUGGGUGUGUGUAGGCUGAAGCAUGUCAGUAGCUGCAGGCAUAGCUGCAUGGUUAAGAAGUUUAGUUUCUCGCGACAAAAUGGUCCCAGGUUCAGUCCCACCUUACAGCAGCUCGGACAGAUUCAGUGCUGAAUUGCUGAAGCAGAAAUAUCGUUAAAGCAAAUAUUCUGCUCAAUACCACAAAUUAGCUGGUUGUCUUUGAUCAAUUGUGGCCAAGAAGGAAAGUUGUAAAUCUAGUCGAGUUAACGGUUCCUCAUGAAGAUAACAUGGACGCCGCACGGGUUCAAAAGGUUGACCGUUAUGUAAACCUCCUCGAGAAAUGUGAAGACGCAGGCUGGAAAGCGGAGCAUUUUCCAAUCGAAGUUGGAAGUAGAGGGUUUGUUGGACACAGUGUGAGACGACUGCUGUUAUAUACCGCCUUGACCGAUAUCCAAAAUACAGUGGAGAAGGCUAGCCACUGGAUUUGGUUAAAAAGAGACGAUGAGCGAUGGCCAAAAGCAUACUGAACUUUAUUUAAUAACCAGUUGAUCUAGCA